rnacentral:rRNA from 1 species
CCUACGGGGGGCAGCAGUGAGGAAUAUUGGUCAAUGGACGAGAGUCUGAACCAGCCAAGUAGCGUGAAGGAUGACUGCCCUAUGGGUUGUAAACUUCUUUUAUAAAGGAAUAAAACGAGGCACGUGUGCCUUGUUGCAUGUACUUUAUGAAUAAGGAUCGGCUAACUCCGUGCCAGCAGCCGCGGUAAUACGGAGGAACCGAGGGUUAACCGGGUUUAUUGGGUUUAAAGGGAGCGUAGAGGGGUUGGUCAGUCAGGUGUGAAAGUUUGCGGCUCAACCGUAAAAUUGCAAUUGAUACUGGCAGUCUUGAGUACAGUUGAGGUAGGCGGAAUUCGUGGUGUAGCGGUGAAAUGCUUAGAUAUCACGAAGAACCCCGAUUGCGAAGGCAGCUUACUAACCUGCGACUGACAUUGAUGCUCGAAAGUGUGGGUAUCAAACAGGAUUAGAUACCCCAGUAGUC